GUGCCCUCAGCUCAAUUGGAUAGUGUAUCUGACUUCGGAUCAGAGGGUUGGGGGUUGGCGGCCACUCGACCCCGCCCCGCAGCUCACGCCUCCUUCGGAUCGAGUCCCUCAGGGCACA
rnacentral:tRNA from 1 species